UGUCUCGCUGGUGCACAAAAUCCUCACAUCUUGCAUAAGGCUAUUUGUCUACAGCCAAAGCUUAUCUUCCCAUCUCUGCCCCUGCAUAGGGAGGGAGUUCUCCAGCCUCUGGAGAGGGGUAACCUGCAAGGAUCCUGGCUGGGGCUGGAUGGAUUCGCUGUCUCCAAGGAAACGCUGUCACCUCGCAACGCAGUCACGUUAGGAGCUAUUGUUACCAAUCUCUUAAGUACAUCAAACAAAUUCCUGGGCUGAUGGAGCUGGUAUCAAUGAACUGUCUUUCCAGAAGGUGCCUAAAGAUAGGUUGGUGAUACCUGUAGCAAGAUACGUGAUCAUCCGGAUGAAUCUCUGGUCUGCUCACUCCAGUGGCUUCGCUUUCCUGAAUCGUUUUCACAGUUUUGCCCACUUGAAGUUAAUAUUCUCUUUGCCUAAAAGACUUCCUGCUUCAUUAAUGGCUUGUUAAAUGCCUUAUUAAUUUAUCAAAGAACUCUGGAUGAAAAGCAACUACUUAAAGAGCCUCGUGUUUUAUGUAACGUUCAUGAAAGUUCUUCAUGGGCACCUCUUCACUCUGUUGAGGGUUCUUGCCUUGUUUGAACCUGCUCAGCCAUUUUAGAAACAACCUUCCAGGCUUCUUUCUUCGAGUUUGCAACUCAGAACGAAAACAAGAGACUCUUCUCUUGGUGGGAACCAACAGCCCUGAUCCAGCUGGAAGCCAAAGAACCUGGUGAACAAUGAACAGAGAUCCCAGUGAGCAGCUGGAGUCUCCCUCCUGUCUGGAUCCCUGUGACUGUGGCAGCUUGAUCCCAACCCCUUGGAGACCACAGACAGUUUUACAAACUAAAUUAAUCUACAGCUUUUCAUCAGGUGUGCCAGCAGAGGCAGAGCAGCUCACAAGGGAAGUCAAGUCAGUUCUUGCUGGUAUUAUCUGAGUUACCAAGGUACUGGUUUCCUCCUCCCUGGCACUGGGGUUUGGGGGUAACUCAUCCGUCUCUUUCUAAUCCAUGUAUUUCCAUUUUCCAACUGCAGGGACAAAAGCAAGGAUUGCUCAAUUCAAGGGACAGAAACAACUCAAGAACGAGCUUGUAAACACUUUUGGAGAAGGCCUUGUUGCCACUUUAAGAAAACCCUUGUAGGAACAUUAUUUGCCUCUGGCUCAGGAAGAGGGAACACCUGCCAGGGAAUCUGCUCCUGCAGAAAUUCCAGUGACACUGUGUGAGGCAGCAAGGGAGGGGAGGGGAUUUAAGAGCCACAACAAAAGAGAACAACAGAAUAAUAGGAGCAGUAUAUCACUGACUUCAACCCCAGUUUUUUCUCUCUCGUAGAAAAGAAAUCUUAUGUCCUGUUGCAGCACUGACUCCAAAGUAACCCCAGCAUGGCUCUGGGGCUGUUCAUGGAGACAGGCUGGAAGAACAACCUAUUUCUGUUAUCCCCCCACACUCCCAGCACACAAUGCAUCCUACAGGCCA